UUCGGUCAAUGAAAGACACCAGUGAGUGAGGUCCUGGUUUAAACUUUCAGUAGCCCAAAGGGGUGAGUUGAGAUCGAUCCGGAGUAUUGAUAAUUGACUCUCACAAGUGCUGCAAAUGGAAGUUUGCAGAAUAGAGAGGAGAGGAAGGUUUGAAACAGAAGAAACCGAGUGACAAAGAUGUCACUGUUUGGACUCUCUCUCCAAGUAGCUCGUAAGGGUUAGACCUGUAGUGAGAGAUUUAAUGGAAGAAAAACCCCAACUGGAAGCAAACCACGACUGAAGACGAGGGAACAGCAACAAGUGAAUCAGCCCGAGGAUUGAGAGCAUCAACUGGAGAGAACCCAUCUGACUCGGAGAUUCCAGUGAUUCAGUCAGGGGAAAGUUUGGAGUUGGAGACCCAGUUAUCAAAGGGAAGGCAUGUGGGCACUGCCACCAUCUGACAAGUGGACUGACUUAGUCGGGUUACAGCCGUAUAUGUGUACAUAGGAUGCCCCAUACAUGACUAUUGGAUGAUGUUAUUAAAACUGUUACGCCCACCAAGUCUGUUGGUGCAAAACUUAAUUAAUUAGAUAAGAGAGUUGGCUAAGUCAAGGUUUUAGUUACAGAUGGAUGUACUUUAUCAGUCAUUCCCUUUGCAAGGCCCUGAUUUACUUACAGACAGAUGUUCAUUCCUGUUCUUAACUGUGAGUCCUCCCUUUACUGAAACGACGGUACAAUGUAUAAUGUUAUCAACUAAUGAGGGUACAAUGUAUAAUGUUAUCAGCUCUCAGUGUGUCUCUCUGCAAGCCGCAGAGAACUGGUAAUGAGCCUGUCUAAGCUAACCGCUGAAGACAGAGUUUACUUCAGUUCAAAAAUUCCUAUUCAGUCCCAAUUAUUCUUUUAGCCAGGUUACAUAGGUUGAAAAUGAUUUUAUAAAAUAUGUUCUCAAUUCCUCAGGAGGGAUCAGGUGAAAUAUUUAUGUACAAAACAGAAACUGGUGUUAUCUGUGUGUACUGUAGUGAUGCAAAAGUUGCUGUAGAAUUUACAAGUGGGAAGAAGUGGAGUGAUACUUGGAAAUUUGACGUUUUGCAGCGUAAUUUAGCAAGCAAACCACACAUGGACAAUGUGCAAAAGCUCUGUUGAGAAAAUCCUUCAUUACUCAUUACAGGCCUGCAACAUAGGUUGUGUGAGAGUGCAGAUGAACUCGAUCGAACCCAGAGGAGAUCAAAGUUCUUAUCGACAGUAAUUUGCUAGCUGUUAAAAUGAAUACCUCUCUAUAUAAAAUUCACUGUGCCCAUUUUGUCACUGGGUUAAAAAUAUGCACAGUACAAGGUUUAUAUGUACACUGGAUAUUACUAAUAAGAGGGGACAAAACCCCAAGGGAGGGAGGAGAAGAUGGCGGCGAGACGCAGCGCGCGUGGCCUCUCCGGUGAAUGGUAUCGGUGUUUGUAAGUAGGAUGCCAUGCGCAAUUCUGAUUUGAUGGAGACAGACGUGAGAAGCACAGAGGAACAUCUGGAGAAACUUCUGAAAUGCCCGGUUCAUUACCGCUGCUACUGUGCGAUCGAGAAUCUCCGGAGGGGAAGACCCCAAAUCCUCGGCUUUGCCUGUUUCUGGCGGCCGGGGCUGGGGUCGAAGCGUUCGGCAGAGAUGUUGCUCGGUGCUCAGUGUCGGAGGGUUGGUCGGAGGCUCGAAGUUUUCGGAUGGACUCAGAGUCGGACUGUGGUCGGAUGCUGCCAGGAUGCUGCAUUACUGGAAGCUCAUGGCAGGGAGAGUUUUCUUCCUUCUACCGUCUGCGUGAGAUGAUGGGACUUUCGAGAGACUUUGAGACUUUUUUUUUACCGUGCCCAUGGUCUGUUCUUUAUCAAGUUACGGUAUUGCUUUGCACUGUUGUAACUAUAUGUUUUUAAUUAUGUGUUUUUUUUGUCAGUUUUUCAGUCUUGGUCUGUCCUGUGUUUCUGUGAUAACACACUGGAGGAACAUUUUAUCAUUUCUUAAUGCAUGCAUUACUAAAUGACAAUAAAAGAGGACUGCGUGUUCUCAUAAUCUAAUCUAAUCUAACAUUGGUGGGACGGUGGGGAGACCUCCAGUGUCCCUGAUGCCCUCACCUACAAGAUGUGCAUCCAGCUGCAGCUUGUAACCUUGCACUUUAAGGAGUUGGAACUUGAAAUGGACGAAUUCCGGAUCAUCCAGGGGAUGGAGGGGGUGAUAGAUAUGACAUGAAGAGAGGUGAGUUACACCCAAGGUGCAGGACACAGGAAACUGGGUGAGAGUCAGCAAGGGAAAUGAGAUUAAAUAUUGAUCGCAGAGUACUCUUGUGGCAAUCCCACACUACAACAGCUACACCACUUUAGAAAAUGUUGGCGGGGGGAUUACCUGGCAGAGGAAAGUCAAAGGGGUGAAAGGGGAUUCAUUAGUUACGGGAACAUAACAAAAGAGGACUAAUAUCCUAGUGGUAAGGCUUGCUAGUGCUAGUGUGGCGGGAGAGGGUGAUGUGGUUAAAAUAAUUUGCAGGGGGAAUGGGAGCCAGACUGACAGAACAGAUAGUGGAGAGGGUGAUAUGAAUUGAAUUGACUUUAUUACAUACAUCCUUCAUAUACAUGAGAAGUAGAAAUAUUUAAGCAACGUCUCUGUCUAAAUGUGGAAUGUGUAAUUUAUUAUAAAUAGUUUGUACAUAGAACAGUCAAUAUAACACAGAAAUGCAGUUCUAUCAGCAUGAAUUAAUCAGUCUGAUGGCCUGGUAGAAGAUGAUGUCCUAGAGCCUGUUGGUCCUUUUGCUGUGGUACCGUUUCCUGGAUGGUAGCAGCAGGAACAGUUUGUGGUUGUGGUGAAUUGGGUCCCCAAUAUCCUUUUGGCCCUUUUUACACACCUGUCUCUGUAAAUGUCCUGAAUAGUGGGAAGUUCACAUUUACAGAUAUGCUGGGCUGUCCGCACCACUCUCUGCAGGCUCCUGCAAUUAGGGGAAGUGCAGUUCCCAUACCAGGCAGUGAUGCAGCCAGUCAGGAUGCUCCCAAUUGUGUCCCUGUAGAAAGUUCUUUGGAUUUGGGGCCCCAUCCCAAACUUCUUCAGACACCUGAGGUGAAAAAGGAGUUGUUGUGCUUUUUCACAACACAGCUGGUAUGCACCGACCACGUGAGGUCCACGGUGAUGUUUAUGCCGAGGAACUUAAAUCUGUUCACCCUCUCAACCCCAGAUCCAUUGAUGUCAAUAGGGGUUAGCCUGUCUCCAUUCCUCCUGUCGUCCACAAUCAGCUCCUUUGUUUUUGUGACAAUGAGGGAGAGUUUAUUUUCUUGACACCAGUCAGAUGUUGUUCAGACCUCAGAUCGAGUCAGCAAUCAAAUGUUUGAGCAUGGUGCGAUGAAUGUGCUGAGCUGUGUAUAUCACAAUGCAAGAAGCAUCGUAGGAAAGCCAGAUGAGCUCAGGACAGGGAAUUAUGAUAUUGUAGCCAUUAUUGGGACUUGGUUGCACCCAACGGUCUGAGGGAUUUAGAGAAAUAAUUUUGUAGAAAGAUCACGGACCGUGCCAAGAAAUAAAGGUUGAUUCAGUAAGUGAUUUAAUUUUCCAUAUGUUGACUGGGACUCCCGUACUGUAAAAGGACUAGAUCGGGUAGAGUUUGUCAAUUGUGUCCUUAAUCAGUACGUAGAAUUCCCGACGUAGAAGUGUGCAAUAAACUGUUGGGAUCUGGUGACAGAAAUUACACAGAUCCCUGAAGGUUGCCUCACAGGUGGAGAGGGUAGUUAAGAAAGCUUAUGGGGUGUUAGCUUUCAUAAGUCGAAGGAUAGAGUUUAAGAGUCGCGAUGCAAUGGUGCAGCUCUAUAAAACUCUGGUUAAGACACACUUGGAGUAUUGUGUCCAGUUCUGGUCACCUCACUAUAGGGAGGAUGUGAAAGCAUUGGAAAGGGUACAGAGGAGAUUUACCAGGAUGCUGCCUCGUUUAGAGAGUAUGCAUUAUGAUCAGAGAUUAAGGGAGCUAGGGCAUUACACUCUGGAGAGAAGGAGAAUGAAAGGAGACAUGAUAGAGGUAUACAAGAUUUUAAGAGGAACAGAUAGAGUGGAUAGCCAGCGCCUCUUCCCCAGGGCACCACUGCUCAAUGCAAGAGGACAUGGCUUUAAGAUAAGGGGUGGGAAGUUCAAGGGGGAUAUUAGAGGAAGGUUUUUUACUCAGAGAGUGGUUGGUGCGUGGAAUGUACUGCCUGGGUCAUUGGUGGAGGCAGAUACACUAGUGAAAUUUAAGAGACUAGUAGACAGGUGUAUGGAGGAAUUUAAGGUGGGGGUGGGGUUAUAUGGGAGGCAGGGUUUAAGGGUCAGCAUAACAUUGUGGGCCCAAGAGCCUGUACUGUGCUAUACUGUUCUAUUUUCUAUGUUCUAUAAUGGCAUGAGAUUCAAAGUAAAUAUGGAAAAAGGGAGGUCUGGACCAUUGGUUGUGAUUCUAAAUUGGAGAAAGGUUAAAUUUGAUGGUAUCAGAAAGGAUCUGACACUUGUGGUUUGGGACAGGCUGUUCUCUGACAAAGGAGAACUUGGUCAGCGGGAGGCCUUCAGAAGUGAAAUUUUGAGGGUGUCUAGUUUGUAUGUGCCUGCCAAAAUAAAAGUUGAAAGUUAACUGGUGCAGGGUAUCUUGGUUUUCAAGAGAUAUUGAGACUCUGGAUAUUUUGCUCCUCUAAAUGCCUCAGACUGUUGAAUGCGACCAAGACUCAUUAAUGCUACAAUAUCAUGAUUCCACGCUCUGAGAUCAUCUGACUUUUUUUUUUCAGUCAUCUUCUGUUGGUUUAAAAAUGCUUUCCAAUAGAUUUUGCUCUUUUGUUUGCCCUCUCUUUGGCUUUUAUGUUGGCUUUGGCUUCUCAUUUCAGCCACGGUUGUGUCCUCCUGCCUUUCCAAUGCUUCCACUUCUUUGGGAUGUAUCGAUCACUCAGCUCCCAAAUUGCUCCCAGAAACUCCAGCCAUUGCUGCUCCGUUGUCACUCCGACCGUUUCCCUUCCAAACAAGUCUGGCCAGCUUCUCUGUCAUAGAAACAUGGAGAAGUUCAGUAAGGAAACAGGCCAUUUGGCCCAUCUAGUCAAUGCGAAAAAAAACAUUUAAGCUAUCUAAUGCACCAAUCUGCAUCGUGACCAUCAACCUCCAUACCCCUACCAUCCAGACCCCCAUCUGAACUUCUUUGAAACGGUGAAGCUGAGUUCAUAUUCACCGCUUGUGCUGGCAUCUCAUUCCACACUCUCAUGACCAUUGCAGUGAAGAGUUUAUCCACAUGUUCCCGUUAAAUUUUCACCUUCUCCACUUACCCAUGACUUCUGGUUGUCAUCUCACCCAACCUCAGUGGAAAAAGCUGCUUGCAUUUACCCUGUCUAUACCCUGAUAAUUUAGUAUACUUCUAGCAAAUCCUCAAAGCAAUUUCCUUGUACAUGUUUAGAGUCUUUUUUUUUAGAUGUAUAAGAUGAUGAGGGGCAUUGAUCGUGUGGAUAGCCAGAGGUUUUCUCCCAGGGCUGAAAUGGCUAACACGAGGGGGCAUAGUUUUAAGGUGCUUGGAAAGAGAUAUCGAGGGGAUGGCAGGGGUAAGUUUUUUACACCGAGAGUGGUAGGUGCGUCGAAUGCCCUGUCAGCUAUUUGUGUGAGAGUGUUUCAGUAACUGUGGGGCCAGGAACCCAUGCAGCUCAGUGGGAACAGGGAAUAAUACCAAUGGAGAGAGUCAGACUGCGCCAGGUCACAGAUUGGAGAUGGCAGAAAUGCCC